AUAGGUUUUAGCGGCGGCCGCCUUCCUCCCGAGUAAUUCUGCAAGUGUUGGCGGAGGCUCUGGGGUUGAGAGGGAGGUGACAGUCACGCAGGCAGACAGGAGGCAAAAGGCUCAGCUGGACUGGACUCCAUUCUCUUACUGAUUUAUGAAGCGAUUCUGAACCAAAGUUGGCACUCUUCUCAACUCAAUAUAUCUCCUGAGAACAGGGCAUUCUUCUCUUCACUGCUUCUUCACAUUUUAUACAUACUUCACCUUCUGUAUUAAUUUCCCAUGAUUGCUGUACCAAAUUAUCACAAAUUUGAUAGCUUAAAACAUCAGAAAUGUAUUCUGUUUCAAUUGUGGAGGCCAGAAGUCUGAAAUCAGCCUCGCUGGACUGGAGUCAAGUCACCAGAUGUGGGUUGUCCCAGAGAGUCGUGACCUAAGUACAGUGGUUCUCAGCAGCUGAGCCAGACCCUGCUUGACAGCUGGAGGGUGCUGCUGACCACAAUGCCCAUUGUUGGACAGCAAGCCCUUGCUUGAAAAGGGAUCUGGAAAGUGCAUCUCUGUGUUUACCACCCCUAGAAACCAAGUGAGGACAUUUGCUGGGGCCUGUGCAGGCCCUCAUAGGUGCCCAAGGAUCUGCUCUGGAACUUGAUGCAUAUACUGGAACAUGCAAGUGAAUUUUUUCGUCAUAAAAUUUUGGGAAAACAAAGGGAGCCAUCUUCUGGAAGAAAAUGGUAUUACUAAUUGUCUCAAAAAAGCAGGAACGAAGCAUGAUGUUUAUAUG